CAGUAGCCGCGGUAAUACGAAGGGUGCAAGCGUUACUCGGAAUUACUGGGCGUAAAGCGUGCGUAGGUGGUGGUUUAAGUCCGUUGUGAAAGCCCUGGGCUCAACCUGGGAAUUGCAGUGGAUACUGGGUCACUAGAGUGUGGUAGAGGAUAGUGGAAUUUCCGGUGUAGCAGUGAAAUGCGUAGAGAUCGGAAGGAACAUCUGUGGCGAAGGCGACUAUCUGGGCCAACACUGACACUGAGGCACGAAAGCGUGGGGAGCAAACAGGAUUAGAGAACCCCGUAGUCCCUGUCUCUUAUAC
rnacentral:rRNA from 1 species